rnacentral:misc_RNA from 1 species
AAACAACUUGAACAUUCUAUAUAAGACCACGUCUCAACUAAAUAAAACCUCAAAGACAUUGACAAAAUCUGGUUAUCAACAGUACAAUUUUAAUGCAUAAAGUUGGUAGCUAUUCUGGAGACAUUAAAAUAGAUGCAAAUUCUAGCCUUUGCUGAAGAGAAAAAGGUGCAAAAACAAAAAAAGCCUAACGUCCUCAAUGACACAAUUAUCACUGAUCACCGGGAAGCGAUUUGAUAAUAUCAGAAUCACCUGGAUCAAUA